UAGCCAGAAGGUUGCAAACCCCCGAGCUAACAAGGUACAAAUCAGCCCACUCUUCCUGGGCUGUCAUUGAAAAUAAGAAUUUGUUCUUAACUUAAAUAAAUGUUUGUUAUGUUGCAGCAAUAUAAUGUUUCAUUGUCAAAUAAGAUCUUUUUUCACAAGAUCAUAAGCGAAAGUGAAACCAGAAACAACACGACUCACCCUGCAGUGAAUGCGCUGUCUAUCUCUACAGCAGCCUACAGAUGUGUUCAUUCUUUGAUGGCCAGCAGCAAUGGCAGAAGCAUACUCGUUCUCUCUGCUUGUUGAGCUAGGAAACCAUGAUGUCCCCAAAGUACAAAACAAGUUGAUCAAAUAUUUCCAGAGUAAAAAGUCCAACGGCGGUGAUUGUCUAGUUGAAGUCUCAGAUGGACAAAGAGCAGUUGUGCGGUUCCGGACAGAGGAGGCUGCAUUGUAUGGAGACGGCACCUACUUUGCUGUAAAUGCAAAAUACUCUGCUAGUGACAAAUACUCAAAACCGGAUCCCCAAGGCCAGAAGUACAUGUACCUAUGUCGAGUUCUGACUGGAGAUUUCAUAACAGGAACACCGGGGAUGAAAGUACCUCCAACUAAAAGCACCACAAGUAUUCAUCUCUAUGACAGUGUGACUGAUAGUGUAUCUCAACCAUCCAUGUUCAUAAUCUUCCAUGACAGUCAGGCAUAUCCUGAGUACUUGAUCUCUUUCAAGUAGGGGUGGGCGAUGUGACCAAUACGUUGUAUUGAUCUUUUACAACGUUUUGAUCAUACUGAUACAUCAUAAAUGACAUCUCAAUAUGUAAUUAGUUAUCUGUAACUCAUGUGGUUUAGCUGAAGUGUAAUAUCCAAAACCAAAAUCCCACUGGGCAAAAGCUGGUUGAAUAAAUGUUGUUUCCACUUCAUUUCAACCAAAAGAAUCUGUGAAGAAGUCUGAAUCAACGUGGAAAACUGAUUGGAUUUGCAAAAAGAGAUCAACGUAAGGGCAUUUUGUCUUUUUAUCACCCUACUUUUAACCUAAAUCCAAUGACAUGGUGACAUUUGUUGUUGUUAACAAUUCAACCAAAUAUAAACUAGAAAUUUAACUAACGUCUGUGCCCAGUGGGAUCUGCUUUAUAAUUCAAAUGCCAUUUUUAUUUUACUUGUGACAUUUACUAUAUUGGAAUAUUCAGUCAAGUCAAACUCAAAAUGUUUAGAUAGUAACAAUUUCAGCCUAGAAGGUUUUGUGAUUUUUACUGAUUCCAUGUCCACUUUGUUUGAAUGUCUAAAACAUCACCAGAACAUCUAACUUCACAAAAUAUCGAAUCACAUUCCCAGACAGCACAGAUUAAGUAAAAUCCUGGGCUAAAAGGCUAUUUAAAUGGAGAUUCUCCAUUGAGCAUGCUUUUUUAGUCCAGGACUAGGCUUAAUAAUCUCUAUCCAGGAAACCAGCCCUUAGUGUUUUCACUUGAACAGUAAGUCAUCAGGUUUUGUGAAAGUUCACUUCAAGAAAGUAAUAACCUUUGGUGGUUCUCAGAGAACACAAUUCUUACAAAGUGGGUCAUAGACCAGGGUGUUUGCCUUGUUGCAUGCACACAUUUGGAUUAUCAAGCCUUUCGGUUAAUGAACAGUGAAUACGGCUGUUCUGAUAAAUCUUGUGAUAAUGCUUCUUUCUGUUGGUCUACAAUAAAUGUAAAAAAUAAAGCUAAAAUAAAUAUAUUGCAUUAA